UAAUAAAAUAGAAACGUUGAUUUAUGUUCUGUAAUGUGGGCACCUUGGAGCAUAUUGAGUUAGUGGUGCAACCGGCUAUGAAAUUG
ncrna:Clostridium difficile 630 Cyclic di-GMP-II riboswitch